GGCGCCAUGGUGUAGUGGUUAGCACUCAGGACUCUGAAUCCUGCGACCCGAGUUCGACUCUCGGUGGUGCCU
rnacentral:tRNA from 1 species